AGCGAACGCUGGCGGCAGGCCUAACACAUGCAAGUCGAACGAAGUCUUCGGACUUAGUGGCGGACGGGUGAGUAACACGUGGGAACGUGCCCUUUGGUACGGAAUAACUCAGGGAAACUUGAGCUAAUACCGUAUGUGCCCUUCGGGGGAAAGAUUUAUCGCCAUUGGAGCGGCCCGCGUCUAAUUAGCUAGUUGGUGAGGUAAAGGCUCACCAAGGCGACGAUCAGUAGCUGGUCUGAGAGGAUGACCAGCCACAUUGGGACUGAGACACGGCCCAAACUCCUACGGGAGGCAGCAGUGGGGAACCUUGCGCAAUGGGCGAAAGCCUGACGCAGCCAUGCCGCGUGGAUGAUGAAGGUCUUAGGAUUGUAAAAUCCUUUCACCGGUGAAGAUAAUGACUGUAGCCGGAGAAGAAGCCCCGGCUAACUACGUGCCAGCCGCCGCCGUAAUAC
rnacentral:rRNA from 1 species